GAUGAAGGGCAAGCUUACUACCCUGGAUUUCGCGGCGUGAUCGUGUGAGAUAAUGCCUGGGAAUCUGCCUGGUAGUGGGUGCAUAACGUUCCGAAAAGGAACGCCUAAUACUGCAUACGUCCUCACGGGAGAAAGCAGAGGACCUUCGGGCCUUGCGCUAUCAGAUUGAGCUUAGGUCCGAUUAGCUUAGUUGGUGAGGUAAUGGCUCCCCAAGGCGACGAUCCGUACCCGGCUCUGAAAGGAUGUUCAGUCCCACUGGAACUGAGACCCGGUCCAGAUUCUUACGGGAGGCACCAGUGGGGAUUAUUGGCCAAUGGGCGAAAGCCUGAUCCAGCCAUGCCGCGUGUGUGAAGAAGGUCUUCGGAUGGUAAAGCACUUUAAGUUGGGAGGAAGGGCAUUAGCCUAAUACGUUAGUGUUUGGACGUUCCCGACAGAAUAAGCACCGGCUAACUUCGUGCCACCAGCCCCGGUAAUCCGAAGGGGCCAAGCGUUAAUCGGAAUUACUGGGCGUAAAGCGCGCCUAGGUGCUUCGUUAAUUUGGAUGUGAAAGCCCCGGGCUCACCCUGGGAACUGCAUCCAAAACUGGCGAGCUAGAGUCCGAUAGAGGGUGGUGGAAUUUCCUGUGUAGCGGUGAAAUGCGUAGAUAUAGGAAGGAACACCAGUGGCGAAGGCGCCCACCUGGACUGAUACUGACACUGAGGUGCGAAAGCGUGGGGAGCAAGCCAGGAUUAGAUACCUUGGUAGUCCACCCCGUAACCGAUAUCGGCUAGUCCGUUGGGUUCCCUGACGACACUCACGUGGUCGACAGCUAACGCAUUAAGUUUCCCGCCUGGAUGCCCCCCGCUUUU
rnacentral:rRNA from 1 species